UACGUAGGGUGCAGGCGUUAAUCGGAAUUACUGGGCGUAAAGCGUGCGCAGGCGGUUCGUCGUGUCCGAUGUGAAAGCCCCGGGCUCAACCUGGGAAUGGCAUUGGAAACUGGCGGACUCGAGUGUGGCAGAGGGGGGUGGAAUUCCGCGUGUAGCAGUGAAAUGCGUAGAGAUGCGGAGGAACACCGAUGGCAAAGGCAGCCCCCUGGGCUAACACUGACGCUCAGGCACGAAAGCGUGGGGAGCAAACAGG
rnacentral:rRNA from 1 species